AUUGAACGCUGGCGGCAGGCCUAACACAUGCAAGUCGAGCGCGCGGCGGAAGGGUGAGUAAUGUCUGGGAAACUGCCUGAUGGAGGGGGAUAACUACUGGAAACGGUAGCUAAUACCGCAUACCAUCAGAUGUGCCCAGAUGGGAUUAGCUAGUAGGUGGGGUAACGGCUCACCUAGGCGACGAUCCCCAGCUGUUCUGGGAGGAUGACCAGCCACACUGGAACUGAGACACGGUCCAGACGCCUACGGGAGGCAGCAGUGGGGAAUAGUGCACAAUGGGCGCAAGCCUGAUGCAGCCAUGCAGCGUGUAUGAAGAAGGCCUUCGGGUUGUAAAGGACUUUCAGCGGGGAGGCGUUACCCGCAGAAGAAGCACCGGCUAACUCCGUGCCAGCAGCCGCGGUAAGUC
rnacentral:rRNA from 1 species